ACACACAGAGCUCCUGUACACACACAGCGCAGCUGAACAGCACACAGGUCCGGCUCCUGCAGAGCUACUGUACACACACAGCGCAGCUGAACAGCACACGGGUCCCGGCUCCUGCAGACAUGGCUUCCUUUCUGUCCGGCUUAAUGGGAGGCAAGGCUGACGAGCUUGUCGACAAGGGAGUCGACGCAGCAGCAACUCUAGCCAAGCAGAAGGUAAAGAGUCUCAUUGGAGGAGAGUCAAACCCAGAGGACGGCAACGCAGGAGGUGGAGGUGGAGGCAUCUUGUCCCCAGGGUCCAAAGAGGGAGGAGGAGGAGGAGGAGAUGGAGGAAUAGGAGGUCUUUUCUCAUCGGGAGGCAAAGCAGCAGAGAAUGAGAGCAGCGGAGGAGCAGGAGGGGGAGAUUCAGGAGAUUUCACGGACGCACUGGCGGGCGUGGCGAACGAAAUGUCCGGGAACGACGACCCCAUGAACCAACUGAAGUCCAUAGGGAAGGGCUUGUUUGGCUGAACCCUCCCCGAAACAUCCUGCCCUGCCCCGACCUGCCCCGCUCUGCCCCACCCUGCCCCGCCCAGCCCGAGAGCUGCACCUGUCUUGGGGGAUUCCUCACUGCCCUGGCUCUGAGCGGAGGGGGACGACUAUUUGGGGGAGAACCUGGGCAGGUGCCCUCCACAACCACUCCAUCCAUCUGUCCCACAAUCCUGUGCAACUGUGAUCUGAAAUCUAUGUAUAUUCAAAGUUGUAUUUGCCUAGGAGGCAACAGAAAAUAAAUGUAUAUUGGAAUUUAAA